rnacentral:rRNA from 1 species
GAUGAACGCUGGCGGCGUGCCUAAUACAUGCAAGUCGAGCGAACAGACGAGGAGCUUUCCUCUCUGACGUUAGCGGCGGAAGGGUGAGUAACACGUGGAUAUCCUACCUAUAAGACUGGGAUAACUUCGGGAAACCAGAGCUAAUACCGGAUAAUAUAUUGAACCGCAUGGUUCAAUACUGAAAUUCGGCUUUGCUCUUACUUAUAGGUGGAUCCGCGCCGCAUUAGGUAGUUGGUAAGGUAACGGCUUACCAAGGCAACGAUGCGUAGCCGACCUGAGAGGGUGAUCAGCCACACUGGAACUGAGACACGGCCCAGACUCCUACGGGAGGCAGCAGUAGGGAAUCUUCCGCAAUGGGCGAAAGCCUGACGCAGCAACGCCGCGUGAGUGAUGAAGGUCUUCGGAUCGUAAAACUCUGUUAUUAGGGAAGAACAAAUGUGUAAGUAACUAUGCACGUCUUGACGGUACCGAAUCAGAAAGCCACGGCUAACUACGUG